rnacentral:rRNA from 1 species
CCUACGGGCGGCAGCAGUGAGGAAUAUUGGUCAAUGGACGCAAGUCUGAACCAGCCAAGUAGCGUGCAGGAUGACGGCCCUACGGGUUGUAAACUGCUUUUAUAAGGGAAUAAAAGUGGGCACGUGUGCCCUGUUGUGUGUACUUUAUGAAUAAAGAGCGGCUAACUCCGUGCCAGCAGCCGCGGUAAUACGGAGGAUCCGAGCGUUAGCCGGAUUUAUUGGGUUUAAAGGGAGCGUAGGCGGGUUUUUAAGUCAGAUGUGAAAGUUUGCGGCUCAACCGUAGAAUUGCAGUUGAUACUGGAAGUCUUGAGUACAGAUGAGGUAGGCGGAAUUCAUGGUGUAGCGGUGAAAUGCUUAGAUAUCAUGAAGAACUCCGAUUGCGAAGGCAGCUUACCAAACUGCAACUGACGUUGAGGCUCGAAAGUGUGGGUAUCAAACAGGAUUAGAUACCCCAGUAGUC